UUCGUAGGUGGUGCGGCAAGUUGGAAGUGAAAUCUCUGGGCUUAACCCAGAGGCUGCUUUCAAAACUGCCGCGCUCGAGUGCGAGAGAGGUCAGUGGAAUUGCAGGUGUAGCGGUGAAAUGCGUAGAUAUCUGCGGGAACACCCGUGGCGAAGGCGGCUGACUGGAUCGCAACUGACACUGAGGAACGAAAGCUAGGGGAGCAAACAGGAUUAGAUACCCUGGUAGUCCUAGCCCUAAACCAUCAGAACUUGGGGUGGCCCGCGUAGGCGGGUCGUCCCGUAGCUAACGCGUUAAGUUCUGCGCCUGGGGAGUACGGUCGCAAGACUGAA
rnacentral:rRNA from 1 species